AGAUCUCUGGGCCGUAACUGACGCUGAGGAGCGAAAGGGUGGGGAGCAAACAGGCUUAGAUACCCUGGUAGUCCACCCCGUAAACGUUGGGAACUAGUUGUGGGGUCCUUUCCACGGAUUCCGUGACGCAGCUAACGCAUUAAGUUCCCCGCCUGGGGAGUACGGCCGCAAGGCUAAAACUCAAAGGAAUUGACGGGGACCCGCACAAGCGGCGGAGCAUGCGGAUUAAUUCGAUGCAACGCGAAGAACCUUACCAAGGCUUGACAUACACGAGAACGGGCCAGAAAUGGUCAACUCUUUGGACACUCGUGAACAGGUGGUGCAUGGUUGUCGUCAGCUCGUGUCGUGAGAUGUUGGGUUAAGUCCCGCAACGAGCGCAACCCUCGUUCUAUGUUGCCAGCACGUAAUGGUGGGAACUCAUGGGAUACUGCCGGGGUCAACUCGGAGGAAGGUGGGGAUGACGUCAAAUCAUCAUGCCCCUUAUGUCUUGGGCUUCACGCAUGCUACAAUGGCCGGUACAAUGGGCUGCGAUACCGUAAGGUGGAGCGAAUCCCAAAAAGCCGGUCCCAGUUCGGAUUGAGGUCUGCAACUCGACCUCAUGAAGUCGGAGUCGCUAGUAAUCGCAGAUCAGCAACGCUGCGGUGAAUACGUUCCCGGGUCUUGUACACACCGCCCGUCAAGUCAUGAAAGUCGGUAACACCUGAAGCCGGUGGCCUAACCCUUGUGGAGGGAGCCGUCGAAAGUGGGAUUGGUAAUUAGGACUAAGUC
rnacentral:rRNA from 1 species